rnacentral:rRNA from 1 species
UACGUAGGGGGCAAGCGUUGUCCGGAUUUAUUGGGCGUAAAGAGCGUGUAGGCGGCCAGACAGGUCCGUUGUGAAAACUCGAGGCUCAACCUCGAGAUGUCGAUGGAAACCGUCUGGCUAGAGUCCGGAAGAGGAGUGUGGAAUUCCUGGUGUAGCGGUGAAAUGCGCAGAUAUCAGGAAGAACACCAAUGGCGAAAGCAGCUCUCUGGGACGGUACUGACGCUGAGACGCGAAAGCGUGGGGAGCGAACAGG